CAAGUCGAGCGGGGAAGGUUGCUUCGGUAACUAACCUAGCGGCGGACGGGUGAGUAAUGCUUAGGAAUCUGCCUAUUAGUGGGGGACAACAUUCCGAAAGGAAUGCUAAUACCGCAUACGCCCUACGGGGGAAAGCAGGGGAUCUUCGGACCUUGCGCUAAUAGAUGAGCCUAAGUCGGAUUAGCUAGUUGGUGGGGUAAAGGCCUACCAAGGCGACGAUCUGUAGCGGGUCUGAGAGGAUGAUCCGCCACACUGGGACUGAGACACGGCCCAGACUCCUACGGGAGGCAGCAGUGGGGAAUAUUGGACAAUGGGCGCAAGCCUGAUCCCCCCAUGCCGCGUGUGUGAAGAAGGYCUUUUGGUUGUAAAGCACUUUAAGCGAGGAGGAGGCUCCUUUAGUUAUAACUUAA
rnacentral:rRNA from 1 species